rnacentral:rRNA from 1 species
AACGAACGCUGGUGGCGUGCUUAACACAUGCAAGUCGAACGAGAAAGUUUCCUUCGGGAAAUUAGUAAAGUGGCGCAAGGGUGAGUAUCACGUGAAUAAUCUGCCCUCGAGAUCGGGAUAACAUGGUGAAAACUAUGCUAAUACCGGAUAAGACCACAUUUCACAAGAAAUGCGGGAAAAGAAGUCUCAAUCUUUACUUGAGGAUGAGUUCGCGGACCAUUAGCUUGUUGGUGAGAUAAAAGCUCACCAAGGCUACGAUGGAUAGCCGGCCUGAGAGGGCGAUCGGCCACACUGGAACUGAGACACGGUCCAGACUCCUACGGGAGGCAGCAGUGGGGAAUAUUGCGCAAUGGGCGGAAGCCUGACGCAGCAACACCGUGUGAGCGAUG